CAAAUGAAUUGACGGGGGCCCGCACAAGCGGUGGAGCAUGUGGUUUAAUUCGAUGCAACGCGAAGAACCUUACCUGGUCUUGACAUCCACGGAAGUUUUCAGAGAUGGGAAGGUGCCUUCGGGAACUGUGAGACAGGUGCUGCAUGGCUGUCGUCAGCUCGUGUUGUGAAAUGUUGGGUUAAGUCCCGCAACGAGCGCAACCCUUAUCCUUUGUUGCCAGCGGUCCGGCCGGGAACUCAAAGGAGACUGCCAGUGAUAAACUGGAGGAAGGUGGGGAUGACGUCAAGUCAUCAUGGCCCUUACGACCAGGGCUACACACGUGCUACAAUGGCGCAUACAAAGAGAAGCGACCUCGCGAGAGCAAGCGGACCUCAUAAAGUGCGUCGUAGUCCGGAUUGGAGUUUGCAACUCGACUCCAUGAAGUCGGAAUCGCUAGUAAUCGUGGAUCAGAAUGCCACGGU
rnacentral:rRNA from 1 species